UUAAACUCUUGCCUACUUCUUUCCCAUCUAAAUAAACUUCACUCGUACAUUGCUUAUAGGGGUAGCUCUCAUCUUGCUCUGAAAUAUGGAUGGUCUGAUACUCAUGACCUUGAUUCUCCGCAUCCCUUUGAGUCCAAUGUUUGGCAUGAUAUCGCCGUGGGGCUAGAAUUCUUCCGUUCCAUAACUAAGGUGGAUAUUAGUAAUGGUACAACAACCGCUUUCUGGCUAGAUCUAUGGUUUAAUGGCUCCACUGAAAACCUUGCAACAAUUUUCCCUGCACUUUUUUCUCAUACUCUCGGACCCGCGUCCACUGUCGCACGGGUGCUAGGCUAUCCUGCUUUGAACCAUGACUUGGCUCCUCGCCUUACUCAUGCCGCCGAACUCGAAUUGGGAAACCUUCGCGCUAUGCUUGCAUCUGUUUCCUUGAAUUUGCAGGUGAUGGAUAAACGAACAAUGACGUUUUGA
rnacentral:rRNA from 1 species